AACGUAGGAGACAAACGUUAUCCGGAGUUACUGGGCGUAAAGCGCGUGUAGGCGGUCCGGUAAGUCCGCUGUGAAAGUCGGGGGCUCAACCCUCGGAUGCCGGUGGAUACUGUCGGGCUUGAGUACGGAAGAGGCGAGUGGAAUUCCUGGUGUAGCGGUGAAAUGCGCAGAUAUCAGGAGGAACACCGAUUGCGAAGGCAGCUCGCUGGGACGUUACUGACGCUGAGACGCGAAAGCGUGGGGAGCAAACAGG
rnacentral:rRNA from 1 species